rnacentral:rRNA from 1 species
CCUACGGGUGGCAGCAGUGGGGGAUAUUGCACAAUGGGGGAAACCCUGAUGCAGCGACGCCGCGUGAGUGAAGAAGUAUUUCGGUAUGUAAAGCUCUAUCAGCAGGGAAGAAAAUGACAGUACCUGACCAAGAAGCACCGGCUAACUACGUGCCAGCAGCCGCGGUAAUACGUAGGGUGCAAGCGUUAUCCGGAUUUACUGGGUGUAAAGGGCGUGUAGGCGGGGUCGCAAGUCAGAUGUGAAAACCACGGGCUCAACCUGUGGCCUGCAUUUGAAACUGUGUUUCUUGAGUACGGGAGAGGCAGGCGGAAUUCCUGGUGUAGCGGUGAAAUGCGUAGAUAUUAGGAGGAACACCAGUGGCGAAGGCGGUCUGCUGGACAGCAACUGACGCUGAGGCGCGAAAGCGUGGGGAGCAAACAGGAUUAGAUACCCCAGUAGUC